UGCAAGCACCAAAAAUAAUACUUAACCGACCAGAAUUAUUUCAUUUGUUUUUUCCACACCUAAGUUUAUUCAGGAACGAAGAGGAAAGAUUAACGGUAAGAGUGAACUCAGACAACGUGUAAUUGGUUUAUCGACUGAUCGUGGAGGUCGUCUCUUAGGAAACUCUAUUAUUAUAAAACCUUUAAAGGACAUGCAUUACGUACAUACGCCUCCAGCAUUGCCUACUAGCCGCAAGAGAUUCAUUUUCUUGUGCCAUACUACCCUGUCCACAAAUAUAC
rnacentral:lncRNA from 1 species